GCAUGCUCCAGCACCGAGCCACCUACAUCAACAGCAAGCCGCCCAAAGACAGCGUCGGCGCCGCUGUGAGUGAAAGAAGGGGAAAGCCUGUUGCGGUAGAGCCUUUUCACAGCCGCCAUUUUGACAUUAAACAGCAGGGAGUCGCUGUUUGUGAUGACCGUCUUGACUGUGGCCGUCCUCGGACCCUCUGGCUGGAUCCUUGCCCACCUCGACCAUUAUAAGAGGCAUGGCUGAUUUACACCUCUGGAAGUGCAGCAGCUUGCUGAACAAAUUUAUCACUUUAUGACAUCUGCUCUGAAGUUUUGUAAUUGUUACAAGUUUUAGCCUACUUCUGUGAUUAAACAAUAAAUUGGGGCAGUCCCCUGCAAGUAGGCACAGAAAAAA